rnacentral:rRNA from 1 species
UACGUAGGGGGCAAGCGUUGUCCGGAAUCAUUGGGCGUAAAGCGCGCGUAGGCGGCCUGAUAAGUCCGGUGUGAAAGUCACAGGCUCAACCUGUGAAUGCCGCUGGAAACUGUCUGGCUUGAGUCCGGAAGGGGCGAGUGGAAUUCCUGGUGUAGCGGUGAAAUGCGCAGAUAUCAGGAGGAACACCAAUGGCGAAGGCAGCUCGCUGGAACGGUACUGACGCUGAGGCGCGAAAGCGUGGGGAGCGAACAGG